rnacentral:rRNA from 1 species
UGUCGUCAGCUCGUGUUGUGAAAUGUUGGGUUAAGUCCCGCAACGAGCGCAACCCUUAUCCUUUGUUGCCAGCGGUCCGGCCGGGAACUCAAAGGAGACUGCCAGUGAUAAACUGGAGGAAGGUGGGGAUGACGUCAAGUCAUCAUGGCCCUUACGACCAGGGCUACACACGUGCUACAAUGGCGCAUACAAAGAGAAGCGACCUCGCGAGAGCAAGCGGACCUCAUAAAGUGCGUCGUAGUCCGGAUUGGAGUCUGCAACUCGACUCCAUGAAGUCGGAAUCGCUAGUAAUCGUGGAUCAGAAUGCCACGGUGAAUACGUUCCCGGGCCUUGUACACACCGCCCG